CAUCAGCAGCAGUUUAUACAGUUUGGGUUAAUUUCAUGAUUCUAAUUUGGUGUAGAUAAGUUAAAGUGUGCAAAUUGUUCCGAAGCGGAACCAAUGUUUAAUGUGAUGUUUCAUUCCGGGACUUUUUAUGGUGACACGCAGCACUCUGUGUAAGGCAGCAUGCUUCUUUUUUGCUGUUAGUUGAUGGAGAGGUUUCGGUGAGGCAUUAAGGCUCGUGUAGCUGAUUACAAGAAGACGUUACACAGAGUUUUUUGUAUUAACCCUUCCAGGUUGAAGCGGCCAAUGAGGUACGCAUUUUUUUGUAUUUUAAUUUGUGUCUAAUAGUUGUUUAUUCUCUAAGUGAAUGUGUUUCUGUAAAUAUGUAUUUUGUGUUUGUACAGUUCUCACGGCAUAGUUAUUAAACGCCAGUAACAAAGAAGAACGCCUUGUGUCCGUUUUCUGCUUGGAGGGAGUUACAGUGAGAACUCAGUCUGCUCGACAUGAGGUGGCGAGAUGAGGAACUGUGCCUUUCAGUCGCUGAGCAGGGGAGGAUUCGUCGCACUCUAGCAUCACGCAGAUAAGAUUGUGCAACACCAGAAACUGAAGCAGCAAGCGCUUUCAAGUUUACAUUGAUGUUCCAACAAGUGAUACAUUUAAAAUAAGUUAAAUGUUAGGAAGUGGAUCAACUUUGUUUUAAGGAGACACUGCAAGUGUUAAAAUUAAGUAAUCUGGUGUUCUGCACAAUUCUGUUUAAGUUCAAGGUUUUAUCUAAGUUUUUGUAAACAAUCAUUUUACAUAUUUCUGUCAUUUAGAUGCUAAAAGUGUUGGAUAAUUAAGUGCUCAGUUUUGAGUUGGUUAUUGUUAAGUCAUUAGUACUGUAAAGCUAUAGCUAUAAGUCACCAAGUAAUAAGUAAACAUUGCAUAAUGGAGCAAAUGACUGACAAUGAAACUAAGAAGGGCGACUUAUUUAAAGACAGUAAUGGCGCAACUCUACAGCAGUCAUCAGAACCGGAAGAGGAGCCAAGAAGAAGCCAAAGGACUAGAAAGCUUACUGAAAGGGCUCAAGAACUGCAUGAUACUAAAUCAAAAAAACUGCAAGAUCGUUUUACCAAUACUUACGAUAAAUGGAAAGUGACGGCAAAGCAAGCUAAAAGGGUGAUAAAUGGAACUCCAUCUUCUGAUGUUGUGCAGGAAUUGAUGAGUAAGAUAAGUUGUGCAUCUGCAGAUGUGAAGCACAGUUAUGAAGAACUGCGCAAAUGUGUUCUUCCAGGUAAUGAGAUCCGUCGCAGAGUAGACACCUGUGAUGCUGUAUCUGAAAUAAUCUUGAAAAAUGCAUCCACUUAUCUUCACAACAAGGAAGACUGUGAUGAUCAGACAAAGGAUGUUGUCUGGCCUGAGUCUGGUUCUGUGUUUCUAUCUUCAGUCUCUAAUACUACAAGUAAAGGUUCUCGAAGUUUAAACUCUGCUAGUAGUUCAAGUAUGAAGUCCAAACAGUCAAGCCUUUCCUCUAUUAGAAGACAGGAGGCUGCUGCAGAGCUAGCUGCUACACAGGCUGCUUUAAAGGUUCUGCAAAAAAUAGAAAGUGAACAGCAGGAACUUGAAAAUCUUGAAGAAGAAGAUAGAAGGAAGAUGGCAUUACAAGAGGAAGAAAAUGUGGCAAGAAAGAAAGCACUGGAAGAAAAACGCAGACAAAUAGAACGUCUACAGACUGUUAAGAAGUUAAGUGCGGCAAAGGCACGACUGCAAGUUUAUGAACAAGAAGCAAGUUCAGAUGAAGAAGUUGCAGAGUUACUUCAUAACCAGGCAGUUGAACGACAUCGAUCUUCUGGAGCUAAAAGAAGUUCCUAUGAACAUCCACACCAAGCAGCCAGUGCCACAGCUCUUGCUGAAGCAAUAGCAGAGUCUAUUAAUGUGAGCCGUCUCCCAGUACCUGAACCUUCUGUUUUUACUGGAGACCCACUAAGAUACAAGGACUGGAAGAUGUCAUUUCAAACACUAAUAGGUAGAAAAAACAUCCCUGUAAAUGAAAGAGUUUAUUACCUUCGUAAAUACGUUGGUGGAUCUGCAAGAAAAGCCAUUGAAAGUUAUUUCUUAUUAGGAACCGAUGCAGCUUAUGAUUCAGCAUGGGUUAUCCUGGAAGAAAGAUUUGGAAGCUCCUUUGUGAUAGCUAAAGCUUUCAAAGAUAAGCUUGCAUCGUGGCCUAAAAUAGGACCCAGAGACAGUGUUGAACUGAGGGAUUUUUCAGACUUUCUUAGGGGUUGCCAGGCUGCAAUGUCCCAAAUUAAAAGUCUAGAAGUACUGAACACCUGUGAUGAAAAUCAAAAACUUCUCACAAAGCUUCCUGAUUGGUUAGUUGCUAGUUGGAACAGAAAGGUGAUUGAGCUCGAAGAAAUUUGCAAUAAUUUUCCUACAUUCAGUCAGUUUGUGGAGUUCAUCAAAAGGGAAGCAAAAAUAGCUUGCAAUCCAGUAACUUCUCUUCAUGCCUUGAAAUCUGGUGAUGUUGAAAAAAUAAAGACAACAAAGACACGAAAUGUUGGCGCAAAGGUGUUUGUGAGCAACUCUGAAGAGAGUCCGGAACAUAAAGGCUGCAUCUUCUGUGAAAAACAAAAUCAUGGCAUUCAGAAAUGCUGGAAAUUCAACGAAAAACCAGUUCAGGAACGUCUUAAGUUUGUCCAAACAAAAAAAUUGUGUUUUGGAUGUUUGCAACCAGGACACCACUCUAAGAACUGCAAAAGAAGAAGUAUUUGUGAAACAUGUAAAGGAAAACAUCCAACGUGUCUGCACGAAGAUCGUGAAAGAGCAAAUAGGAAAGAGAAAAGCAAUGAUGAGUAUGCAGAGAAUGUAAAAGUCUCUAAACCCACAAAAUCAAAGGAAAAAACAGAGCACAAUCAUAAUGUUGAACUCUCAGAUGAAGCUACAUCAAACAGAGUAGUGCAAGGCAUGGACGACAUGUACUCUUCUACUGUUGUUCCUGUGUGGUUAUCUACGUCAAGUAACCCAGAGAAUGAAAUUCUCGUUUAUGCUCUACUUGAUAACCAAAGCGAUACGACAUUCAUCAUGCAAGAUAAGGCAGAUGUUCUGGAAACAAAAGGAGAACCUGUGCAGUUAAAACUCUCCACACUUUCAUCCAGAAAUACAAUUAUCCCAAGUCAGAGAUUAGUUGGACUGCAGGUGAGAGGUUUUUAUUCAUCAAAGAAGAUUUCUCUACCUGUAACCUAUUCAAGAGAGUUCAUUCCUGCUAAUCUAAGUCACAUACCGACCCCAAAAACUGCGAGAGCAUGGCCUCAUCUAGAGCAUCUUGCAGAGGAGAUUGCUCCAUUGAUCGAGUGUGAUGUAGGACUACUCAUAGGUUACAACUGUCCACAGGCUUUGUUACCUAGAGAAGUGGUGUCGGGUAAAGAUGACGAACCAUUUGCUCAAAAAACAGAUCUUGGAUGGAGCAUAGUCGGUUGCGUUAGCCCGUGUGUUGAUUAUGGUGAUGCGAUUGGAAGCAGCCAUAAGAUCAUCAUGAAGUCUGUGAAACCCCACUCUCAGACAUCUAAGAACCUCACAACUGAAGUGAAAUACAUUUGUAGGACUCAAGUUAAGGAGUUCAUUUCUCCACCAGAUGUGUUGAGGAUGCUUGAGUCUGACUUCAGUGAGAGAAGAGUUGAAGAUGCAAAUUUAUCUCAGGAAGAUUUGCGGUUCCUAUCUAUCAUGGAAGAAGGAGUCAAAAUUAAAGCAGAUGGUUAUUGUGAAAUGCCACUCCCUUUCAAGAAGGAUCGACCAAAUCUCCCAGAUAAUAAGGUGUGUGCAGUUCACAGACUCCGAUGCUUGAAAAGGAGAUUUGAAAGGGAUAAAAAAUACCAAAAUGAUUACGCAAACUUUAUGAGUCAAAUCAUAGCAAAUGGUGAUGCAGAAAGAGUUCCAGAAGAAGAAAUUAACAAAGGUUCUGUGUGGUACAUUCCUCAUCACGGAGUCUAUCACCCACACAAGCCAGGAAAGAUACGAGUCGUAUUUGACUGCUCUGCAAAGUUCGAAGGUGUGUCAUUAAAUGAUUACUUGCUCAGUGGGCCAGAAUUAACGAACAGUCUGAUAGGUGUUCUCUGCCGUUUUCGUAAAGGACAAGUUGGCAUAAUGUGCGAUAUUGAGCGCAUGUUCCAUCAAUUUCAUGUUAAAACAGAGGAUCAAGACUACUUGAGAUUUCUCUGGUGGGAUGAUGGAAACAUUCAGGCUCAACCAUCCAUCUAUCGUAUGCGAGUUCAUCUAUUUGGAGCUGUAUCAUCGCCAGGCUGCGCAAAUUUUGGGUUGAAACAUGUUGCGGCCCAAGGUCAAGGUCAAUACAGUGAAACAACCAUCCAGUUCAUUGAACGAAAUUUUUACGUGGAUGAUGGACUGACAAGUGUUGCAACCAAAGAUGAAGCUAUAAGGUUGGUAAAGGAAGCAAGACAACUUUGUAGUUCUGGCAAUCUACGACUUCACAAGUUUGUUUCCAACAACCAAGAUGUACUUGCAUCCAUUCCAGAAGAUGACUGCGCAGAUUCAGUAAGAAAUCGUGACAUGACUCUUGGAGAGUCACACAUAGAGAGAGCUUUGGGAAUUAAAUGGUGUGUUGUUUCGGACCAGUUCCAUUUCAGAGUGAUUGUGGAUGAACGCCCACUUUCUAGAAGAGGUGUUUUAUCAACAGUGGCAUCCAUCUAUGACCCUCUUGGGUUUGUAGCACCAUUUAUUCUGGUUGGGAAGCAAAUACUUCAAGAGAUGUGUCGAGAGAAGAUUGGAUGGGACGAGCCAUUAUCUGAAGAUCUCAGACCACGAUGGGAGUCUUGGCUGUUGGACUUAAAGAAUCUAUCCGACAUCAAAAUUCAAAGGUGUUAUCUCCCAAAGGAUUUCAAGGAAGUCGAAAGAUAUGAGUUGCAUCAUUUCUCAGAUGCAAGCGUUAAAGGAUACGGUGAAUGUUCUUACUUGAGAGCAAUCAGUAUAUCGAACCAAGUCUACUGUUCUUUAGUUAUUGGUAAGGCCAGGGUGACCCCUACAAAGGUCACCACAGUACCCAGACUUGAGCUUUCAGCAGCUGUUAUUGCUGUUCGAACAAGCAACCUGCUUAAAAAGGAGUUGGAUGUUCAAGCCCAAGAAUUCUUCUGGACUGAUUCAAAGGUCGUUCUUGGAUACAUUAACAACGAUGCUAGACGAUUUCACAUAUUUGUGGCAAAUCGCAUUCAGCGCAUACAAGAAGGUUCCAAUCCGGAUCAAUGGAGAUAUGUGACCUCUGAAGAUAACCCCGCGGAUCAUUCAUCAAGAGGUCUGACAGUUAAAGGACUGGUUACUUCCAAUUGGUUCACUGGUCCAGAUUUUCUCUGGCAUAAUGAACUUCCUGCUAAUACUGUUAAGGUGGGAGAAUUGGAAGCUGAAAAUCCAGAACUACGAAAAACUUUUGUACAUAAGACCCUAACGACAGAAGAAUCUUUGCUCAGUCGUUUCUUAAGGUUCUCAAAAUGGACAAGACUGGUUAAAGCCAUUGCACGACUCAUACGAUGUGUCAAAGAGGUCAAGGGUUCACUCUCCAGAACCAACAAAGUCACCAGUCUUGAGGAGAGGAAAGAGGCAGAGUUUUUCAUCAUAGCUACAGUCCAAAGGGCAGUAUUUUCUGAAGAAAUCCAAGACCUAAGCUCCAAAAGGGAGAUAACAAAGAACAGUGCGAAGAGGCUGCAUAAACUGAAUCCUUUCUUAGAUGAAAAGGGUGUGCUCAGAGUAGGAGGUCGGCUGGAACGUUCUUCUUUGCACACAUACAUUAAACAUCCAGCAAUCUUGCCAAGCAAAACCCAUAUAUCACAGUUGCUCAUUGACCACUUCCAUCAAAGGGUUCAUCAUCAGGGUCGUGGGAUGACCAUGAACGAGCUCCGAUCAAACGGCAUCUGGAUAUUGGGAUGCAGUCACGCAGUGUCUUCUUACAUUUACAAGUGUGUGAAAUGUAGAAAGUUCAGAAGAAAUACUGAAAUACAAAGAAUGGCAGAUUUACCGUGUGAAAGAGUGGAAGCAUCACCUCCCUUUACCUAUUGUGGAGUGGAUUGCUUCGGUCCAUUUUACAUUAAGGAGGGAAGAAAGGAACUUAAACGCUACGGUCUGUUAUUCACAUGCCUGUGCUCGCGUGCUGUGCACAUAGAGCUACUUGAUGACAUGACAUCUGACGCUUUUAUUAAUAGUCUUCGAACAUUGAUUGCCAUACGUGGAAAUGUUCGGCAGCUUUGGUCAGAUCAAGGAACCAACUUUGUUGGAGCAAGACGAGAGUUCUUGGAAUCCGUAAAGGAAAUGGACCAAGAAAAUCUAAAACAAUUAGGUUGUGAAUUUGUCAUGAACCCACCAUCUGCUAGCCAUAUGGGUGGAGCCUGGGAAAGGCAGAUUAGGACAAUAAGAAGUGUGUUGACAUCCAUUUUGGAUCAUUCAUCCAAAAGACUUGACAUUUCAUCUUUACGUACAUACCUUUAUGAGGUCAUGGCGAUCAUAAAUAGUAGGCCCUUAACAACUCACCUGCUCAGUGAUCCCUCUGCUCCACAGCCUCUUACACCGAAUCAUAUCCUGACCAUGAAGUCUUCAGUGGUUUUACCACCACCUGGUGAGUUUGUGAAAGAAGACCUUUAUCUUCGCAAAAGAUGGCGUAAGGUACAAUAUUUGGCCAAUGAAUUUUGGACCAGAUGGAAAAGGGAAUACCUGCUGAAUCUUCAGCAAAGAAACAAAUGGUACAAGACACAGAGAAAUGCCAAGAUCAAUGACAUUGUGAUUCUGAUGGAUAAUAGUCUACCCAGAAAUGAGUGGAGACUGGCCAAGGUCACUAAGGUGUUCCCUAGUGAAGAUGGAGUCAUUAGGAAACUCGAAUUGUUGAUGAGUGAUGCAACACUUGACGACCAAGGAAAAAGAGUUAACAAGCCAGUAUAUCUUGAGAGACCCAUCCACAAAACAGUUACUUUAGUCGAAGCUGAGUAGCUCAGUACUGUGAUACAUGACUUGUUGGAUUACAGAUAUUUGUUGUUUUUCUUUGUAUUCAGGUGUAGUAGGAAAUCAUCUGUGAUUUGGUGGGAGUGUGGCUGCCAUCAGCAGCAGUUUAUACAGUUUGGGUUAAUUUCAUGAUUCUAAUUUGGUGUAGAUAAGUUAAAGUGUGCAAAUUGUUCCGAAGCGGAACCAAUGUUUAAUGUGAUGUUUCAUUCCGGGACUUUUUAUGGUGACACGCAGCACUCUGUGUAAGGCAGCAUGCUUCUUUUUUGCUGUUAGUUGAUGGAGAGGUUUCGGUGAGGCAUUAAGGCUCGUGUAGCUGAUUACAAGAAGACGUUACACAGAGUUUUUUGUAUUAACCCUUCCAGGUUGAAGCGGCCAAUGAGUUCUCACGGCAUAGUUAUUAAACGCCAGUAACAAAGAAGAACGCCUUGUGUCCGUUUUCUGC